AUUGAACGCUGGCAGCAUGCCUUACACAUGCAAGUCGAACGGCAGCACGGGAGCAAUCCUGGUGGCGAGUGGCGAACGGGUGAGUAAUAUAUCGGAACGUGCCCAGUCGUGGGGGAUAACGUAGCGAAAGCUACGCUAAUACCGCAUACGAUCUAUGGAUGAAAGCGGGGGAUCGCAAGACCUCGCGCGAUUGGAGCGGCCGAUAUCAGAUUAGGUAGUUGGUGGGGUAAAGGCUCACCAAGCCGACGAUCUGUAGCUGGUCUGAGAGGACGACCAGCCACAAUGGGACUGAGACACGGCCCAGACUCCUACGGGAGGCAGCAGUGGGGAAUUUUGGACAAUGGGCGCAAGCCUGAUCCAGCAAUGCCGCGUGCAGGAUGAAGGCCUUCGGGUUGUAAACUGCUUUUGUACGGAACGAAACGGUGAGCUCUAAUACAGUUUGCUAAUGACGGUACCGUAAGAAUAAGCACCGGCUAACUACGUGCCAGCCGCCGCGGUAA
rnacentral:rRNA from 1 species